rnacentral:rRNA from 1 species
GUCUUUUUGAGUUAUUUUUAAAGUCUGACCUGCCCACUGAAUAUUUAAAUGGCCGCAGUAUUUUAACUGUGCAAAGGUAGCAUAAUCAUUAGUCUUUUAAUUGGAGGCUGGUAUGAACGGUUGGACGAGGUANAAUCUGUUUCAUAUAUAUUUAUAUUAGAAUUUUAUAUUUUAGUUAAAAAGCUAAAAUAAUUUUAAAAGACGAGAAGACCCUAUAAAUCUUUAUAUUUUAUGUAAUUUAAAUUUUUUGGAUUUAUUUUAUUUUUAUAAUUUAAAAUAUUUUGUUGGGGUGAUAUUAAAAUUUAAUAAACUUUUAUUUAUUUAAAUUCAUUAAUUUAUGAAUUGUUGAUCCAUUAUUAGUGAUUAUAAGAUUAAGUUACUUUAGGGAUAACAGCGUAAUUUUUUUGGAGAGUUCCUAUCGAUAAAAAAGUUUGCGACCUCGAUGUUGGAUUAAGAGAUAUAUUUAGGUGUAGCUGCUUAAAUGUUAAGUCUGUUCG